GCAGUCGAAGGAGAAGCCCUUCGGAUGGUGGAAACUGGCGCACGGGUGAGUAACGCGUGGGUAUCUACCUUGGGGUGGGGAAUAACCGUUGGAAACGGCGGCUAAUACCGCAUACGCCUUUAGAGGGAAAGCUCCGGCGCCCUAAGAGGAGCCCGCGUUGGAUUAGCUUGUUGGUAGGGUAACGGCCUACCAAGGCUACGAUCUAUAGCUGGUCUGAGAGGAUGAUCAGCCACACUGGGACUGAGACACGGCCCAGACUCCUACGGGAGGCAGCAGUGGGGAAUAUUGGACAAUGGGCGCAAGCCUGAUCCAGCCAUGCCGCGUGAGUGAAGAAGGCCUUAGGGUUGUAAAGCUCUUUCACCUGCGAAGAUGAUGACGGUAGCAGGAGAAGAAGCCCCGGCUAACUCCGUGCCAGCAGCCGCGGUAAUACGGAGGGGGCUAGCGUUGUUCGGAAUUACUGGGCGUAAAGGGCGCGUAGGCGGUAUGCCAUGUCAGGGGUGAAAGGCCUGGGCUCAACCUAGGAACUGCCUUUGAAACUGGCAAACUAGAGUCCGAGAGAGGAUGGCGGAAUUCCCAGUGUAGAGGUGAAAUUCGUAGAUAUUGGGAAGAACACCAGUGG
rnacentral:rRNA from 1 species